rnacentral:rRNA from 1 species
AUCUAUGGCUAGGGUUAGGGUUAGAGACCACCUACAGUUAUGUCGACUUUACAUCCGCUAACCCUAGCUUAAUAUUUUGUCUAAUACACCUGUGCACUUGUCUAUACACACUCUAAGAUGUAGUCUAUGGACGUUCUAAUGCCUCAAGGCAAAUAUGUAUACAACUUUUAACAACGGAUCUCUUGGUUCUCGCAUCGAUGAAGAACGCAGCGAAAUGCGAUAGGUAAUGUGAAUUGCAGAAUUCAGUGAAUCAUCGAGUCUUUGAACGCACCUUGCGCUCCCUGGUACUCCGGGGAGCACGUCUGUUCGAGUGUCCUAAUGACCAUCAGACAUAGGUGCCACUAUACCUAUGCCUGGAGCUGGACCAUGCUGUAAAUGGCUGGUCUGAAACACAUUAGUGGGUACGUUAUGAGCAGUCCUCCGGUCGUGAUAUCUAGUCAAAUCGAACGGGACCAACUGUCUAACUCAUAUGGAGACCUGCUUUUCUAAUGCUAGCUAUCAAAAUUAGACCUCGAAUCAGAUGGGACUACCCGCUGAACUUAAGCAUAUCAAUAAGCGGAGGAGAAGAAACUAACAAGGGAAUUCCCCUAGUAAC